AGGCUUUGUCAUACAUCGUUGCGUGACUUAGUGAAGCUCAUAUCGGGGCCUGAGUACUAAUCUCCUGAUUUAAUAAUCUCUUGCUGUUUCGCUGGUGUUGCAGUGCUGAAGGUUCCCCUGUUGUUCGUUGAUAUUGUUCGGAUUCUCCAAGAAUAACAAACAGAUAAUGUCAACCAGCAGUCAACCAAGCUCGGACGCCACCAUUGUAAAAGUAGGAUGGCUUCAAAAAAGAGGCGAAUACAUAAAAAAUUGGAGACCAAGAUACUUUCAGUUAUGGAGUGAUGGCAGUUUUAUCGGUUACAAGGAACUUCCAAAAU